GAACGCGUAGCGGGAGGCUAACACAUGCAAGUCGAGGGGCGAGCGCGGGUAGGCAAUACCUGGCGGCGACCGGCGGACGGGUGAGUAACACGUAUGCAACCUGCCCUGCACAGGGGAAUAGCCCGGAGAAAUCCGGAUUAAUGCCCCCAUGGUCCACUGGGGUCCGCAUGGAUCUGGGUGGUAAAGAUUCAUCGGUGCAGGAUGGGCAUGCGUUCCAUUAGCUAGUUGGCGGGGCAACGGCCCACCAAGGCGACGAUGGAUAUGGGGUCUAAAGGAUGGUCCCACACAUUGGCACUGAGAUACGGGCCAAACUCCUACGGGAGGCAGCAGUGAGGAAUAUUGGUCAAUGGGCGAGAGCCUGAACCAGCCAUCCCGCGUGCAGGAUGAAGGUCUUUAACCAGAUUGUAAACUGCUUUUGCAGGGGGACGAAUAAGGAUCACGUGUGGUCCGAUGACAGUACUCUGCGAAUAAGCAUCGGCUAACUCCGUGCCAGCAGCUGC
rnacentral:rRNA from 1 species